rfam:Triticum aestivum genome assembly, contig: Triticum_aestivum_CS42_TGACv1_scaffold_031712_1BL
AUGCUACUCCCUCCGUCCCGAAAUACUUGUCGGAGGAAUGGAUGUAUCUAGACGUAUUAUAUUCUGCAUACAUCCAUUUUUAUGCAUUUUUUUGACGGGUAUUUCCGGACAGAGGAAGUACAAG